rnacentral:misc_RNA from 1 species
AAAAAAACAUAAUACAGGAUGAUGAAAACACUGUGUACAUGUUAACCCCCAGUGCCAGAACCUUCAGAAGGUAAUGAUCCAUUUGAAGGAACAGCACCUGUUUCAUCGGACACCAGACUUCCACCAGUUUCGCCCUGCUUAUGCUGGGACUGCUCCCAGUGUUGAUCAGGGAACACCUCAGAUUGUAAAGAUGGAGCAAUGUUAUUCACAUGCAGCCAUGUCAGCUCCCACAAGCUAUCCCCACCUAAGGCACUCCUCUGUACCAGUACUCCCUUAGUCUUCAUCACUAGCAAGGUGUUCUUAAGCAGCUCAGGCACUACUUCCUGAAGCUUCUCACUCUUCUUCCCUUUUACUUUGACUUUUAGAUAUUUUUCCAUUCGGCUGAGC